rnacentral:rRNA from 1 species
AACAGAUAUCUCGGCUCUCAUAACAAUGAAGAACGUAGCAAAUUGCGAUAUUUAGUGUGAAUUGCAGAAUCUCGUGAGCCAUCAACUAUUUGAAUGCAAGUUGAGCUCAAGCCUCUGCGGCUGAGGGCACGCCUACCUGGGCGUCGUUC